AACGAACGCUGGCGGCAUGCCUAACACAUGCAAGUCGAACGAGACCUUCGGGUCUAGUGGCGCACGGGUGCGUAACGCGUGGGAACCUGCCCUUAGGUUCGGAAUAACUCCCCGAAAGGGGUGCUAAUACCGGAUAAUGUCUUCGGACCAAAGAUUUAUCGCCUUUGGAUGGGCCCGCGUUGGAUUAGCUAGUUGGUAGGGUAAAAGCCUACCAAGGCGACGAUCCAUAGCUGGUCUGAGAGGAUGAUCCGCCACACUGGGACUGAGACACGGCCCCGACUCCUACGGGAGGCAGCCGUGGGGAAUAUUGGAAAAUGGGCGAAAGCCUGAUCCAGCAAUGCCGGGUGAGUGAUGAAGGCCUUAGGGUUGUAAAGCUCUUUUACCCGGGAUGAUAAUGACAGUACCGGGAGAAUAAGCUCCGGCUAACUCCGUG
rnacentral:rRNA from 1 species